UUGGAGGGCAAGUCUGGUGCCAGCAGCCGCGGUAAUUCCAGCUCCAAUAGCGUAUAUUAAAGUUGUUGCAGUUAAAAAGCUCGUAGUUGAAUUUCGGGAUCAAUAUAUCGGUCGUGCCUUUGGUACGUACUAAUAUCAUUGAUUUCUCCUUUCUGACGAAUCAUGAUGUCAUUAAUUUGGUGUUAUGAGGAGUUAGGACUGUUACUUUGAAAAAAUUAGAGUGUUUAAAGCAGGCAUUAGCUUGAAUACAUUAGCAUGGAAUAAUGAAAUAGGACGUUUGACCCUAUUUUGUUGGUUUUUAGGAUCGACGUAAUGAUUAAUAGGGAUAGUUGGGGGCAUUAGUAUUCAAUUGUCAGAGGUGAAAUUCUUGGAUUUAUUGAAGACUAACUACUGCGAAAGCAUUUGCCAAGGAUGUUUUCAUUAAUCAAGAACGAAAGUUAGGGGAUCGAAGACGAUCAGAUACCGUCGUAGUCUUAACCAUAAACUAUGCCGACUAGGGAUCGGAUGAUGUUAAUUUUAUAAUGACUCAUUCGGCGCCUUACGGG
rnacentral:rRNA from 1 species